CGGUAAACAGAGGGAAGCGAGCCCGCGAGGGGGAGGCGAAUCCCAAAAAUAAACGUCCCAGUUCGGAUUGUAGUCUGCAACCCGACUACAUGAAGCUGGAAUCGCUAGUAAUCGCGGAUCAGAAUGCCGCGGUGAAUACGUUCCCGGGUCUUGUACACACCGCCCGUCACACCAUGGGAGUCGGAAAUGCCCGAAGUCUGUGACCCAACCUUAGGGAGGGAGCAGCCGAAGGCAGGUCGGAUGACUGGGGUGAAGUCGUAACAAGGUAUC
rnacentral:rRNA from 1 species